rnacentral:sRNA from 1 species
AUGGCUUGGGCCGCGCUCCUCGGCCUCCUGGCCGCGCUGUUGCUGCUGCUGCUACUGAGCCGCCGCCGCACGCGGCGACCCGGUGAGCCUCCCCUGGACCUGGGCAGCAUCCCCUGGUUGGGCUAUGCCUUGGACUUUGGAAAAGAUGCCGCCAGCUUCCUCACGAGGAUGAAGGAGAAGCACGGUGACAUCUUUACUGACUCUCCUCCACAGAGAGCUCCAGGCGCUCACAGAAGCCAUGUAUACCAACCUCCACACAGUGCUGUUGGGCGAUGCUACGGAAGCAGGCAGUGGCUGGCACGAGAUGGGUCUCCUCGACUUCUCCUACAGCUUCCUGCUCAGAGCCGGCUACCUGACUCUUUACGGAAUUGAGGCGCUGCCACGCACCCAUCAAAGCCAGGCCCAGGACCGCGUCCACUCAGCUGAUGUCUUCCACACCUUUCGCCAGCUCGACCGGCUGCUCCCCAAACUGGCCCGUGGCUCCCUGUCAGUGGGGGACAAGGACCACAUGUGCAGUGUCAAAAGUCGCCUGUGGAAGCUGCUGUCCCCAGCCAGGCUGGCCACGAGGGCCCACCGGAGCAAAUGGCUGGAGAGUUACCUGCUGCACCUGGAGGAGAUGGGUGUGUCAGAGGAGAUGCAGGCACGGGCCCUGGUGCUGCAGCUGUGGGCCACACAGGGGAAUAUGGGUCCUGCUGCCUUCUGGCUCCUGCUCUUCCUUCUCAAGAAUCCUGAAGCCCUGGCUGCUGUCCGUGGAGAGCUCGAGAGUAUCCUUUGGCAAGCAGAGCAGCCUGUCUCGCAGAUGACCACUCUCCCACAGAAGGUUCUAGACAGCACGCCUGUGCUUGACAGCGUGCUGAGUGAGAGCCUCAGGCUUACAGCUGCCCCCUUCAUCACCCGCGAGGUUGUGGUGGACCUGGCCAUGCCCAUGGCAGACGGGCGAGAAUUCAACCUGCGACGUGGUGAUCGCCUCCUCCUCUUCCCCUUCCUGAGCCCCCAGAGAGACCCAGAAAUCUACACAGACCCAGAGGUAUUUAAAUACAACCGAUUCCUGAACCCUGACGGAUCAGAGAAGAAAGACUUUUACAAGGAUGGGAAACGGCUGAAGAAUUACAACAUGCCCUGGGGGGCGGGGCACAAUCACUGCUUGGGGAGGAGUUAUGCCGUCAACAGCAUCAAACAAUUUGUGUUCCUCGUGCUGGUGCACUUGGACCUGGAGCUGAUCAGCGCAGAUGUGGAGAUCCCUGAGUUUGACCUCAGCAGGUAUGGCUUCGGUCUGAUGCAGCCGGAACACGACGUGCCUGUCCGCUACCGCAUCCGCCCAUGACACAGGGAGCAGAUGU